GUAUUCGGGCAAUCGAGCGGAAUUUUUUCCGUUAGGAAAGUCCUUGCUAGCACAUGCUGAGACGCAUGUAGUGUUUAUGCCUAACGAAACAAUAAGUUAGGGCACCUUGAAAAAGGUGACGGCGGAGAUGACCCUGUAAAAUGGCGAUUCUCCAUAAAGUGCCACAGUGACGAAGUUCUCGGGAAACCGGGAAGUGAAACGGGUAAACCCCAUAAGCUAGAAACCCAAAUUAUGGUAGGGGAACCUUCAAUCCGGAAAUGAACGGGGCGAAGGCUGCCGCCGCAAGCGGUGGAGAUAAAUGAUUGCCGCUUCCUUUGAGAAGUACAGAACAAGGCUUACAGAA
rnacentral:RNase_P_RNA from 1 species